rnacentral:rRNA from 1 species
CCUACGGGAGGCAGCAGUGGGGAAUAUUGCACAAUGGGCGCAAGCCUGAUGCAGCGACGCCGCGUGAGGGAUGACGGCCUUCGGGUUGUAAACCUCUUUCAGUAGGGAAGAAGCGUAAGUGACGGUACCUGCAGAAGAAGCGCCGGCUAACUACGUGCCAGCAGCCGCGGUAAUACGUAGGGCGCAAGCGUUAUCCGGAAUUAUUGGGCGUAAAGAGCUCGUAGGCGGUUUGUCGCGUCUGCUGUGAAAGACCGGGGCUCAACUCCGGUUCUGCAGUGGGUACGGGCAGACUAGAGUGCAGUAGGGGAGACUGGAAUUCCUGGUGUAGCGGUGAAAUGCGCAGAUAUCAGGAGGAACACCGAUGGCGAAGGCAGGUCUCUGGGCUGUAACUGACGCUGAGGAGCGAAAGCAUGGGGAGCGAACAGGAUUAGAUACCCUGGUAGUCCAUGCCGUAAACGUUGGGCACUAGGUGUGGGGGACAUUCCACGUUUUCCGCGCCGUAGCUAACGCAUUAAGUGCCCCGCCUGGGGGAGGUACGGCCGCGAGGACGUAAAACGUUAAAAGGUAAAGUUAGACGGCGUGAGACGUGCCGACGGACGACGACGAGGGAGGUUAGG